UAUAAGGGAAAAAACCCGAAGCUUCUGUGCAUUUGGUUCCAGCAUUUGGUUUUGCUGUACUGUUGAGCUAUAAAAUACAGCUCAAAAGACCUUGCCAUGUAUAUAGGUGAGGUAUAGCAUUAUGUAAAUAUUGAUGCCAGCUUUAGGAUAAGGGAUAUUUACAUUCCUCUGAUUCAUGGCAUGGUGACAAGUUUUUAUAUGGCUUCAGUUGCAGAGGAACACUGACCAGAGUAAAUUGCUAUUGGAGAGAAUUGUGUGUAUUUUGGUGUUUUCAAAUGAAUAAUGUGUUUUUUCAGCUCCAUGAUUCAAGAGCUGUACAGGAGUCUCUAUAUGGAUCACAAUUCAGAUGUUUGCCUCUCAGUCCUAUUAAUUGUUUAUUUCUUGUAUUACUGAUACAUUGGGAACAUAGCACUUCCCAGGGCAGCAUCAUAUCUGCUACAGUUCAUAAACUAAUUUUGUGAGGCAAAUCAUGCACAUAAUUACAGAGAUCCAUUUUAUUUGUCUUUGAUAAAUUGCUUUUGUGAAAUCAAGAGGAGGAUUUGUCAACAUUGCUGUACAGUUUUGCUGCCCUUUACUUCCUAUUUUCUGUUCCGGACAGGUAGCAACAUUGCUUUUGUGAAAGGAUUCUUGUUUAUUCAACAGAAAGUGCAAGAUGAGAUACAAUCUCUAAACUUCAGACUUGUCAGAUUUCCAUGCAACCUGGUCAAAUGAUUCUUUCUCAAUUUGCUAUUUUAUUGUGCAUGGAGUUUGUAAGGUUUUAUAUAUACGUUCCUACAGUAUACAAACGCCCACUUUUCCCUCUUUCUUUGCAUAAAUCCAUUAUGGCUUUAGAAAAAACUUGGUCCAGUCAGAGUUGUACAGCCAUCAUCAUUAUAGCUAGCUUAUGAAUUGGAUGCAAAAUUCAGCUUGCAUCCAAUUUCUGCGUCUUAUGAGUUUGCGGAUUUUCUAAACAAAAUUCUUGAUAUGAUGGCAAACUCAUAAUCAAAAUAAACUUUGGAUGAUUUCAUAUUUGAUUUUGUGUAAUUGGUUCACGAAUAUUGAAAUCAAACAUAACAUGUUACUUUUCGAUUUUAAGAGAGCUCUGAACGUCUUUAUUUAUAGCUGCACUUAGUCAAUUUAGAUUCCAAGUGCAUGCAAAUAUGUUCUGAUAUCAGUUGAGGUAUCCUUGCAUGUUCUCUGAUUGGGUUGUAGAUAUGGAUUUCAAUCUAUAUUUGUUUGCCACUUGUUUUCAGUUAAAUCUCAUGGGCUUUAUUCAGGUAUUAGGCAUUUGUGGUGGAUGAAUUCAUGAGUAUUAGGCAUUUGUGACGGAUGAUUGGUUUUAGUGGAUGAGCCUAUAUAUUCAGUAAUUUAGUGGAUGAGCACAACGAGCAUGGUGGUUCUCUUGAACACCACCGCUGACAUGUAGGUGAUCACGGUGCCUAGCUUGAUGAUUGCGGCUUCACCAAUUCUAGUACAACCGAUCACCCAUGUUUUGUUGAUGUUUUCACCUGAACAUGAUAUGUUCUAUCUUUUUAGUUUUACUUGUCAAAACUGAAAAUGUGGUCUCGAGAUUGUGCAGGAAGAGGUUAUCAAACAAGACAAUAUAUGGAUUU
rnacentral:lncRNA from 1 species